rnacentral:lncRNA from 1 species
UUGAUGAGCAAUCCGUAAAAAUGGCUCUAAAUUCUGAUCAUGUUAUCUUGAUGAGUGACUUAGAGGGUUGUUUGGCUAAGCUUAUUUUAGAGAGCUUACAAUAUGUUUUUCAAGAGCUUAUAAGUUGUUAGAGUGUUUGGAUGAUUGAGCUUAUAAGAGUGUUUGGAUGAUUGAGCUUAUAAGCUAGAGAAAAAAUUAUGAGUUAGAAAGAAAAUUGGAGUUAAAAUUGGAAGGGUAUAAGUUGGAAAUAACAAAUCAUAAUUGGGUUAUUGUUGUUUAUAAAUUUAAGUCAAAAUAAGUUGAGAUUGAG